rnacentral:tRNA from 1 species
CAGGGAAUAGUUUAAGAAGAAUCUCAGCUUUGGGUGC